UGAGUAACGCGUGGGGAACCUGCCCUUAAGUUCGGGAUACCAACUCGAAAGGGUUGUUAAUACCGGAUGUGCUGCAUUAGCCGCAUGGCGGAUGUAGUAAAGGGGAGACCCGCUUAAGGAUGGCCCUGCGUUCCAUUAGCUAGUUGGUGGGGUAACGGCCUACCAAGGCGACGAUGGAUAGCCGGCCUGAGAGGGCGACCGGCCACACUGGGACUGAGACACGGCCCAGACUCCUACGGGGGGCAGCAGUGGGGAAUCUUGCACAAUGGGCGGAAGCCUGAUGCAGCGACGCCGCGUGAGGGACGAAGGUCUUCGGAUCGUAAACCUCUGUCCAAAGGGACGAAGGAGUGACGGUACCUUUGGAGGAAGCCCCGGCCAACUACGUGCCAGCAGCCGCGGUAAGACGUAGGGGGCGAGCGUUGUCCGGAAUCAUUGGGCGUAAAGGGCGCGUAGGCGGUGACGUAAGUCAGGCGUGAA
rnacentral:rRNA from 1 species